rnacentral:rRNA from 1 species
CCUACGGGGGGCAGCAGUGAGGAAUAUUGGUCAAUGGACGAGAGUCUGAACCAGCCAAGUAGCGUGCAGGAUGACGGCUCUAUGAGUCGUAAACCGCUUUUGUACGAGGGUAAACCCCGAUACGUGUAUCGGGUUGCAAGUAUCGUACGACUAAGGAUCGGCUAACUCCGUGCCAGCAGCCGCGGUAAUACGGAGGAUCCGAGCGUUAUCCGGAUUUAUUGGGUUUAAAGGGUGCGUAGGCGGUCUGAUAAGUUAGAGGUGAAAUGCCGGGGCUCAACCCCGAAAUUGCCUCUAAUACUGUUGGACUAGAGAAUAGUUGCGGUAGGCGGAAUGUAUGGUGUAGCGGUGAAAUGCUUAGAGAUCAUACAGAACACCGAUUGCGAAGGCAGCUUACCAAACUAUAUCUGACGUUGAGGCACGAAAGCGUGGGUAGCAAACAGGAUUAGAUACCCCGGUAGUC